rnacentral:lncRNA from 1 species
CUGGUGAUAUUGAAACAAAUCCUGGGCCAUCAUUUGCAAAUGAUUUUAGCCUAAAUGAUUCAGUUUCGAAUUUAGAUCUUCGCGAUUUGAUCACAUUUACUUGCAUUAAUAUUCAAAGUGUUAAAUCAAAACUUGAUAUUUUGGAGGCAGAGCUUGGGGAUAGAGAUAUAAUUAUGUUAACAGAAUCUUGGUUAAAGCCGAAUAUAUCCGACAAUUCAGUUGCAUUAUCAAACUUUAAGGCUCCUUAUCGUAACGACAGAGAAGGUGAUAAGCUUGGAGGGGGAGUCAUGAUUUAUGUAAAACAAAAUAUCCCAAGUAAGCGACGAAAUGAUCUAGAAAUCAAUACUCUCGAAUGCUUAUGGGUUGAAGUAGUAGUUAAGGAUUGUAAAUUUUUG